UUCAACCUGGGAGGAGGAGGAGGAGGAGGAGGAGGAAGCAGAGAGUGAAGGGGAUGAAGACAUAGAAGCUGUUUUGGCUCCCCAAGGAAACGCAACAGAACCAAGGGUGAAGAGGAGAUCGUCGGAGAGCCAUGAGUGGAGGAGAGGCAGCCAGAGGAGCCCUCACUUGGAGGAAGGGUCAAGGAAAGUCAAGGUGGUUGAGGCGCCGCCCGCCAGCACCACCCAGUGGCCAAGGACACCGCCGCGGGGGCCUGCAGCAAGCAGUGUCACAGGGUUCUGGGGUGACUCAGAGGAGCUGGGAGCAGGCCUGGAAACGUCACUGAGGAAGGACCAGAGCCCGGACGACCAAGACGACUUCUACGACUGAGGGAGGGAUCCAGCGCCUGCAGGUCCCAGUGAGACGGGGGCAAUCUGGGACGCGAGAUUCACCGUGCCUGGCCUUCGGGGGGCGCAGAGAGACCCAGAGACAGUGCUGUGAAGCCAGCCACCAGGGUGGGAGUGACACAUGGACUGAGGGAUCCCCGUGCCCCAGUGUGCAGUGUGUGACCCUGUCCUGGGGCCACCGCCCCUCCCCCCAGAGUGCAGGGCUCUGAUUGUCCAGAGCCCUCGGAGCAUGUGGGUGGCACUUCAGGCAAUAAACUCUCCCAGAAGGGAAC